CCCAGACUCCUACGGGAGGCAGCAGUGGGGAAUAUUGCACAAUGGGGGGAACCCUGAUGCAGCGACGCCGCGUGGGUGAAGGAGCACCUCGGUGCGUAAAGCCCUAUCGGCAGGGAAGAAACAGACGGUACCUGACUAAGAAGCCCCGGCGAACUACGUGCCAGCAGCCGCGGUAAUACGUAGGGGGCAAGCGUUAUCCGGAUUCACUGGGUGUAAAGGGAGCGUAGACGGCGACGCAAGUCUGGAGUGAAGGCCCGGGGCCCAACCCCGGGACUGCUCUGGAAACUGCGGCGCUGGAGUACGGGAGGGGCAGGCGGAAUUCCUGGUGUAGCGGUGAAAUGCGUAGAUAUUAGGAAGAACACCAGUGGCGAAGGCGGAUUACUGGACGACAACUGACGGUGAGACGCGAAAGCGUGGGGAGCAAACAGGAUUAGAUACCCCCGUA
rnacentral:rRNA from 1 species